CCCGGCCGCGUGGCCGGGGCGCGCCUGGGCUGGCCGGUGUCGCCCCAGCCAAGCAGAAGCGAGGGACCGGCGCUCUGCCGUCUCCCCCUCACAGUAAAACAUAAUGGUUGCAGCUGUGUUUACCUGUAGUGUAAUCCUAGUGUUUCUCUCUUCAGUGAAGGCAAAGGAAUGCACGGUACAGGAAGCACUGCUUACUCCAAGUUCGGUAUUUGUACUGGUAGGAGAGCCUCUUAUUAUUGAUUGUCUAUUAGAUAAAACACCGCACAUGAAUUACAACUUGACUUGGUAUAAAAGUGGGAGAAAAAUGCUUGUGACUCAAGUGAAACAUUCCAGAAUACAUCAACAUGAGAACAUGCUUUGGUUUGUCCCUGCAACUUUAGAAGACUCGGGUUCCUAUGAAUGUGUCAUAUGGAAUUUAACAAGCUGCAACAAAAUAUACUUCAAUAUAACAGUUUUCAAAAAUACUGCUGGUUUGUGUUUCAAUGGGAAUUAUCUUUAUCCUCAAGAGGUACCAGCAUCAUCAAGUGUAAAGAUUGUGUGUCCUUAUCUAGACUUCUUCAGAGAUGAGAAAAAUACUUCACUCGUUCACUGGUAUAAGGAAUGUAACCUGACUAAAAAUGAAAGAUUUACAUCUCGGAAUGAUGAUCUCAUAAUAACCAAUGCGAAUGUAAAUGACUCAGGAAAUUACUUAUGCAAAAUGACAUAUAAAUAUAUGGGGAAAGAAUAUAACAUUUCACGAAACAUUAAUGUAACUGUUAUAGAGACUCCACCGAAUAAGAGAACUGAAAUUCUUUAUCCAAGAAACAAUACAAUUGAAGUGGAACUUGGGUCCAAUGUUAUCGUGGACUGCAACGUAUCAAGUGCUAAAGAUAUUUCAGUUGGUAUAUCCUGGAGAGUCAAUAAUACUUUAGUCAAUUAUUCAUUUAUGGGAAGAGUCCAAGAGGGAAAUCAAAUAGAUUCUUUCCCCGAUGGGUACUUAUUUUCUACAGUGACGCUCAACAUCACAGAAGUGAAGCAGGAGGAUUACGGACGUCAUUUUGUGUGUUUUGCUGGUGAAGUUGCAGCCUACAUUGCAUUAAGACAGCCAGUUCAAAAUUUUCAAGGAUACUUGAUUGGAGGACUCCUUGCAUCAGUGUUUGUAACAGUUGUUGCCAUAUUAAUCUACAAGUUCUUCAAGAUUGACAUUGUGCUUUGGUAUCGAAAAUCCUGUCAUCCUUUUAUGAGUAAAGAAGAUGGGAAGAUCUACGAUGCAUAUGUACUGUAUCCAAAAAUCAGCUCCGUAGAUAGCAUCUCCACAGCAGAUAAUUUUGUGCUAAAGAUGCUUCCUGAGGUCUUGGAGAGAAAAUGUGGGUAUAAUCUGUUUAUACUUGGAAGAGAUGAUUUACCAGGAAAAGGUAACAUGAAAAAUGAUUGUAUUCUCUCAUUACCUUUAAAGUAGAACUGAGUUUUCUAUCAUUCUCUUUGAAUACUAGAGCAGGGCAAAAAAGAUUCACAUCAGUAUGGUCCCAUGGGUCACAUCAUGACACAGAGGCAGAAGCGCAAGGCACCACUUGUUAUAAUAGUAAUUUCAGAAAUGAUAGAUGCUUUGAAAUAUUCUAGCAUCUAUCUGUAUGAUUGAGUUUAUUUCCCUGCCUCCUCCAAAACUUUCUUCCUCACCCCCUCUAGGGGUCCUCUCUCAAGAGAAGAUUCUCAGACAAAGUGGAAUCUCUCUUCCAGCAGGCAGUGACAAAGAAGGUUGCUUUUCAGUACCAAGGGAGGGCUUUUCACUGGACAUACUGGGGUCAGACUAUAUUCUUGCAAAGAAUCACAGAAUGGAACUCAGUCUGUUUAAUUGUUCCCUAGUCCCUGUAAGUUAAGGGCUCGUUCUACAAGAGUACAAGCAGCAUCUCUAGCAUUGCUUUAAGAGGUGCUGCUACUUGACACCUGCAAAGCAAUUAUGAGGAACUCCAUCCACAAGUUUGAGAGACACUAUAACUCGGUACAGGGUUCCUCUUCUGGUACAGUUCUUCAUUUGCAACCUCUCACCUUCCUCCUGUUUGAGUAUCGCUUGUCAGUCGCCCACAGUGAAUACCCAUAGGGACCCGCACUUGAAGAGAAUGUUACUAACCUUUUAAUAACUGGAGAUUCUUCAAGAUGUGUGAUCUUAUCUGUAUUCCUCCCCUUGCCUUCCUUCCCCUCUGCUUCAGAUGUUCUCUGAUUUGCAGUAGAGAAGGAACUGAAGAAGCAGUUGGUCCACCUCACUCUCUAUCUUCUUGCUUGGCAGCACAAGCUGUGAUCAAUGUUGUUGAUGAAACCAUUAAACAGAGCAGAAGGCUUAUAAUUGUAUUAGCACCGGAAUCAUCAAGUUGCGGUUUAUUAGAUAA